rnacentral:rRNA from 1 species
AAAAACAUGUCUUUUUGAUAAUAAUUUAAAGUCUAAUCUGCCCACUGAUAAUAUAUUAAAGGGCUGCAGUAUAUUGACUGUACAAAGGUAGCAUAAUCAUUAGUCUUUUAAUUGAAGACUUGUAUGAAAGAUUUGAUGAAAUAUAAACUGUCUCUAAUUUAUGUUUAGAAAUUAAUUUUUUAGUUAAAAAGCUAAAAUGACAUUAAAAGACGAGAAGACCCUAUAGAGUUUUAUAUUUUAUUUAAUUAAUAUUAAAUAUAUAAUUAAAUAUAUUAAUUAAAUAAAUUAUUGUGUUGGGGUGAUAGAAAAAUUUAAUAAACUUUUUUUAAAUUUAAACAUAAAUAAGUGGUUGAUUGAUCCAUUAAUAAUGAUUAAAAGAAAAAAUUACCUUAGGGAUAACAGCGUAAUAUUUUUUUUUAGUACUUAUAAAAAAAAAAGUUUGCGACCUCGAUGUUGGAUUAAGAUAAAAUUUAAAUGCAAAAGUUUAAAGUUUUGAUCUGUUCGAUCAUUAAAAUCUUACAUGAUCUGAGC